CAGUCGCGUUUGCUGGGACUCAACCUUGCUUUUGCCUGGUGUACUUCUCAGUAAAUGGGCCAGCAUCAAUUUCGGGCGCCGGAUAAGGGUCUUGGGAAUGUGGCCGGUUCGCCGGUGUUAAGCCCUGGACUUGAUACGGCUCUGGGGACAGAGGACCGCAGCGCGCCUUCUUGGCAUUGGCUUCGGCCUUUUCCGCGCUAAGGAUUCUGGCUUAAUGGCUUUAAGCGACCCGUCUUGAAACACGGACCAAGGAGUCUAACAUAUAUGCGAGUGUUU
rnacentral:rRNA from 1 species